rnacentral:lncRNA from 1 species
GGGUGAAGCACGAGUGCACGCUUGCGGGGCUUCAACCCGGGUGGGCUGUGUGCACUAGUCUGUGCAUAACGCGCCCGAGGGGUCGCCAGCAGGAAGCCUGGGCGAACGUUUUACUACUUAGUUGGGAAGAUGGGGCCCAUACCCACACCCCUCCGGAGGCUACAGAGGGAACUUGCACAGGGGAAAUAAACGUGCGGGCGCGGAAACAUUCUCCAGCACGGAAUCCCACCCAGAAGGCGCAGGUUCAAAUUUUACGCACGAAAUGUUCGAGCUGGCAUAGGACCCUGGUGUCGGGGUGACCCCGUUGUGGGAGGUUCCUCUCGAGACCUCUAGCUCCCCCCAGUUGGCCCCCAAACCUACCCAGCCUCAACGUUAACCCAAGAGAAUUCCGAGGGGCCACACAGCCCCCUACAGCCCGUUAGUCUCGCCCAACCCGAACCUCGCCGGGGACCCCCGCGCCUCAGCCGACGCACGCGAGUCCGUGGCCAGGGGCACCGGCCUUCUGCGGAGCUGGAGUGUCUGUCUGUCCCCGCACACGUUCGCCCCGCGGAGCAGAACUCUGGAAGAUCUACCAGGUUUGAGAAGACAACUUUGAGAAAUGCCCAUCAAUCCAGGUUCUAAACACCCCUGGGCUGUCCCUGGCAACAGUUAUCCUUUUAAUUCCUAAAGAAGAAUCACUUUGCUUACAAGAUCCACAACCAUGGUAACCUGGAGUCUACUACUCCAUAAGCC